UACUACCAUCACAGCUGAAUGCAAUG
rnacentral:piRNA from 1 species